rnacentral:lncRNA from 1 species
NNCCCAAACCCCCUCCCCCCAGCAACCCUCAGUUUGUUUUGUGAGAUUAAGAGUCACUUAUGGUUUGUCUCCCUCCCAAUCCCAUCUUGUUUCAUUUAGAAGAAUCAGCAAAUUUAACAGUAGGGCCGUUGUGGGCAGCAUGCGGAAAGCAGCCACCUGUCAGUCUGACAGCAGGUAUAAUACCAUCUCCAUUCCAUUGCUUACUGAUUUCAAGAAGAAAAGAGACUUUUAUUGCUUGUUUAUGGUCAGUUGUCAUUUACUGCCUCCCUGUAUUGAUUGACUUAUUGCCCCUGCAUUUAACUCAAUAGGAGCUGGAAAGGAAGGAAUCUGAAAUUCUGUUUCCUAAGGCAGCCAGUUGUAGGGAUGGAUUUUCUAUAUCAGGCCAAAGAAAAAACCGUCCAAAGGCUGCCUGUCUUUUUUAAGUAGUCAGCAAAGAGGAAGGGAGCCUCUGUGUACGGUCUAGGUGUGAAGGUGUCACACACUGAGGAGCAAAAUGAAGAUGGGAAGACUGAGGGACUUGAGGCUCUGAUCAGUUGGAUCUUUCUGCUGGAGCUGUAUUGUUUGAUCUAAUACGUUGUGAUUCAGCAUAAUUUCAAACCCAUUAUGAAGUCAACAUUGUACAAAGCAUUUUGAAAACAAUAUUAAAAUUUUUUUCACUUAACACUAUUCUUCCCUUGUAUCGGUUUUGAUGAUUAGAUAAGUCUCUCACUGUACUACAAAAAUUUAUUUUCUUUGGGUUAAUUCAACAUUCUGCA